rnacentral:rRNA from 1 species
ACGUAGGGUGCAAGCGUUAUCCGGAAUUAUUGGGCGUAAAGAGCUCGUAGGCGGUUUGUCGCGUCUGCUGUGAAAACUGGAGGCUCAACCUCCAGCCUGCAGUGGGUACGGGCAAACUAGAGUGCGGUAGGGGAGAUUGGAAUUCUUGGUGUAGCGGUGAAAUGCGUAGAUAUCAAGAGGAACACCUGAGGUGAAGACGGGUUGCUGGGCUGACACUGACGCUGAGGCGCGAAAGCUAGGGUAGCAAACGGGA